AUGGUGUGGCAGCACGGCAUCGUCCUCGCCAUGGGCCUCAAAUCCGACCACUUCGGCCCCCUCGUAGCUAAAGUGUGCGACUGCCUCCUCCGUCACGGAGCGCUGCAGCUGCCAGAGAUUGUCCGCCGUCUCAAGCUCCCGCCAGGCCAAGUGAAGAACUCUCUCCUUGUCCUCAUCCAGCACAAUUGCGUUCAGGCCUUCUCAUCGACGAGAGGCAAUAGGAUGGUGACGCUCUACCUGGCCAUCUUCGAUAAUGUCCUGCAUCGGCUGCGCUUCUCAAAGUUCAUCUCUGUUAUCCGUGCGGACAUUCCAGAGUCAGAAGCUCUUAUUGAGGGUUUGCUUCAGAAUGGUAGGCUAACAUUCGACCAACUUGUGGGACAAACAAUCUCUAAAGUGCCAGAAGGCACCAUCCGACCAGCAAGGGCAGAGAUAUGA
rnacentral:rRNA from 1 species